ensembl:lncRNA
GGCGGGAGGAAUGGCAACAAAGCCAGUUGCUUGCAUUUGUCUUGAAAGAAUUAAUGACAUUUUUUCAUUCUUUUGGUGAAACCUAAAAAACAGCUGCAGCUCUUUAUCUGCAUAUAAGAAGGUGAAUCUCAAUAUGCCUCCUCCUCCCCACCCUCGCCUACCGGGACAUAUAUGGCCAGUGCAGCUACUCCAGCCAUUGAUUUAUUCUUAAAACUGUAUUGCUCCUACUUUACUGGAAUUUGCAGGUCUCUGCGUUGUGUAGGCAGAUCACAUUUCUCAUAAAGCCGACCCUAAAGGGGUUAAUAGCUUGUGGUUGAACUUUUGCAGCUGCUCAUUAAAAGUCAAUUUAAAAAAAAAAAGAAACACUGGCCAUUUUAAAGUAUGUGUGUCUGCAUUUUAUCCUGUCCUUCCAUGUGGUGCACGUGCAUGGAGAAGAGCAGAUGAGUAAGGAAUGGAGAGAGGAUUCAAGGGUUCUAGUGAAAUUCCCAAUGUUUUGUGUCGCAACAUCUAUAGUUACUGUAUCAUUCAUUCUCAUUGAUUGAGAAUCAUGAUAAGAAGCCCACUCUGAUUUGUUGAAAAAAUAGUAAUUGUACUAAUGGAGUUUUAUUCCUUCUGAGAAAGAUAGUUAUGAAUGAAUACUAAGAAAUAGAAAAAGGUGAUUUAAUUAAAAUAAAAUUCACAACCGGCAUAUUUAACAGGAUAUAUGUUAACUACAAAGGUCCCUUAACAAACAGUUUCUGGACCAAGAACUGGAAGACACACUGAAGAAACAAAGACCACUGGUUUAGGUGGCCUCCCCACACAAGGGUGGAAGAUCCUGAAUGUGAGAAAGUUGCAGGUCAACCCGUUGCCCACCGGGGCCCACCUCCACAGCUUGAUUUAUCUUGGAUUUUGAAAUCAGUGAGUUCUUAAUUGAGUUGAACUACAUACUUUUCCAGCAAAUACUACCUGAAUUUGUAACAUGGGUUGCUUCAGUCACCAACAUGGCAGGCCUUGCUGGGCGUUUGGUGUGUGACAAACCAAGACGGUCUGACGGUUAAGUCACCCAGCCCAGGGGCACUGUCCUGCCGCCCUUUGUAUUUCUCCUGCUCAAGGGCAUUCAGACCAAAUCUCCUGACUUGAGACUUUUUUUUUUCUUUUAAUUUUUCACUCAUUUAGUAAAAUAGUUUGUCUUGGAACUAAAAGCAUCAAUGGUUGAUUGAUAUUAACCAUGGCAUCUCUGAAUGGAUUAAAUUUAAUCCCUCCUUCAACUCCCUCCCUCCUUCCUCCCUCCCUCCCUCCCUCUUUUCUCCCUGGUCUUCCUCCCACACCAAACCCAAGGGGCUUUUGAAGGCUGUUCUAUGGCAAGACUGAGGAAGGUAUUUGGGGGCUGGACACGCAGUAGGGUGGGUGUGGCAGGAAAGAACUCGGGGCCAGGAGACUGCCAGGUGUUUUCUGGUCUCGUACAAAGGGGAUCGGGAAUGUUUUUUGGAGAAUCAUGGGAUGUGAUUGUCCCACUGUAAUGGGACAGUCUGGGACAGUGUCAGGACUUAAGUAUUUUAGGAUGUCAUGAAAGAAUCCUCUGGAGAAAAACAACGUGUAGGACCCCUUUCUGUCAAGCCACUUGCAGGUUACCGCUUUCAAAGCAAAGCCAGACUCCGGCCCUGCCCGGGGUGAAGUCUUUGUCUGCCUGCGCGCCGAUUGCUCCGGCUUCAGAUUGAUUUUUGGCCCCCGCUGCAGCAAGUUGGGGGCUGGCGAGGAGUGUGGAGGCGGCUGGGGGCGGAGUGCGGACUCGCAUGCACUGCACCAGGAGCCCACUGCUGCUUCGGGAUUUUUUUAACUUGAAAUUUCCAUAUGACAAAAAGACGUUUCUCCGCGAUCUCACGGAGCCAUUAACAUCUAUUACUAACGCCGACGGGGGCAUCACCACCACCUUCCUGGAACCAUCCUUGCAGACUUUGUGAUCCUGCCCAGGCACAGAAGCUCUCCUAGGAGGUGGUUCUUAUGCAUAUUCAUUUUGUCUAGUAACCGGCUGCCCGUCUUGCCUUUGCAGGCUGAUGUAUUGAUUUAUGUAUAAAAUGUGUUUUAUUUUAGUAAUUAGGCAAUCCUGAAUUCAUGGAGCCGUCUGCACUUCCCAGGCACGUUCCUUGCUAGGGAUGAAAGACAAAGGUUGUGGUGCCCCUUUCUCCCCUCCACCCCACUUCAUUUUCCACCUAGUGACCGCUGACUUUUGUUGUCUUAUGGAAAGCUAGUUAGGAAUGGCAUUUUUUCCCCCCAGAGGAAUCAGUAAAUUAAAUAUUAGUGUUUAUAAAGAAAGCACACAGUUAUUUUUUAAAGCCCAAUGUUUGACAAUAACUACUUCUGGGGUGUGUUGUAAAGAUUGAACAGUAUCGUGUGUCGGUUUAGUUUGGGGAUGAUUCUAGGAUUGAUGUUUCCUCUAUGAAGCGGUCACUGGCGUGUUCCCAUCAAGGUACAUGAAAAUAGAUGUUGCCUUUCAUUACAAAGGAUACUGCAGUGAAAAGGGAGACAUCACUGCUGCUGCAUUUUCUAUAUCCUUAUUUUAUUCUUCAGCUUUCGUUUUCAUCUUUCCAUGCUCCCACCCCUCUGCUCAUCCAUCCACAACCCCAUCAUUAAAAAAAAAAAAAGAAUUAUCUCCACAGACCCACUUGUGUUUUUCAGGAACUCUAUUAUGCCCAUAAACUUGACCUGGAUUGUGUUACUAAUUUGGUAGGUUAUUCUGGUAUACGGGAAAUCACAGCCUAUGGGUCGAUAAGGUCCACAUGAACCCCUCAGCCAAAUUAUCUAAAUUGUUUUUAAAAGAUAUUUUUAGGACAGUGAACACUUAGCAAACGUGUCUUUACAGAUCCCGAUAGACCUAUCUUUAGAUCCAGUACUUUAACAGCCUGUUCACCCCAACCAGUUCUAAUCAAUGUAAAAUGUGCUUCUAACAAAAGAUGGUUAUGUUGUUAAUGAUGAAAUCAUUAUGAAUUUCCUUUAUGGAAAUAACUGACCUAAAAACAAUAGAAAUUUCACCACAUAAAGUAUUACUCCGAUUUUAAACUCUAGAAAAAAAUAGGUAUUUCUUAAAUUUUAGGAGGAAGGAGCCGUGUAAGAAUGAAUAAAGUAUGAUAACAUUUGUUUUGGGUUUAAAUUUUCUGCACACUUACUGUGUAUUCUAUUUGAUAUGCCUCUUUUACUUUUUAAAAAUGAUCUAAAUUUUCAACAUGCUGUCAAUUUAUAUUAUAUAUAAAAUAGAUGAAUUUACUAUGUAUAUAUACAUAUGAUUUAAUCCAUGGGUAAAAACGACAGCCAUUAGGGUGAGAAUAAUGAAGUGUCUGUCCCUAUGAGAAAGGGCAAGAGAGAAACCCCCCCAGAUCAAUAACUGAUAAGUAGCCAGCAUAAAAAGGGGCCACAAAGCUUUUCUUUUGCUUCAGUUCUUAAACCAGCUUUUCCUGGUGGCAUCUUAUUCAUGUUGGAGUGAUUCAGUAAAAACAAGAAGACAGAACAUUUACUAGGCAAUAUGUUGUUUUUGUUUUGUAUAUUUACUACAAAAAUUUUUGAAAUGCCUUUAUUGUCUGCUGAAAAGUAAUCAUAGAAUCGAUAUUCUGAAGAUGGCAUCAAGAUAGAUUUUUAAGCGUAAUAGCAGACAGGAGUUGGGAUGUGAUUGUUAAGCUUAUGGGAUAGGAUCAGGCAUGCAGAUAUGGAGUGUGUGUGGUGUGUCUCUGUGCCUGUUUCAUAGGAGGCACGUUAGCGGUGUCUGUGAACCACAGCGCUGAUGUAUUGCACACGGAAUGAGGGUGGAAUGGCCUAACACAGCAAUAAGACUACAUUUAGCGUAGUAAGCAGUAUGGAGAGCUCUCUGAGGUCUGGAGGAGAGCGGAAACUUACCACAAAGAAUGUAAGGAAGGAAGGAGCUAAGUGAGCCGGUCCCAUUCCCCCUAAGCAAAGAGAUACUGUGCCUUGAAAUGUGGAUUUUUGAGUGAGCAGACAGUAACAGCUCCUCCCCCCCUUUAGUGGCACUGACUCUGUGUGGCCUCUUGUUUAUUGUGGGUGGAGUUGGCACUACAUCCCUGGGGAGGAUUAUGAUAUAGACAAUCUUUUACUAAUGGUCUGAAUUCUAUUGUGCUCCUAUGAAAUACACACAUACAGACGCACAUUUAUUAGAUAGUAACCUAUGCGAACAUGUGUGUGUUCCUAUAAAGAAUUCCUUUAUAUUCCUUUAUAAAACUCCGCUCCACACCUUUACCCUUCAGAUCACUAGUUGUGAUUUUUUUUUAACCUAGAAAGUGACCUUUUCUCUAUCAAAAACUGUUGAUCGCUAAAAAGGGGAUUUUUGUUUGUUUAGGCUUCUGUCCUAAGAAAGAAUAGCAAGUGGAAUAUUCCUCAGUCUCAGAAACAUUUGAAACAAACAUCCUAUUUGAUUGGUUUAAGGAUUCACUAAAAGUAUGCAUAUAUAUUUUGCUCGUUUUGAUGAUAAUUGAAAGGGAACUGUUUAAUAGAAAAGUCUGUACCUGGCCAACAUGAUACCGUGUCAUGGUCUGUUGUGGUUGAAUCUGGAAGCAGGGGAAAAGUCAUUCUACUUUGUAGAUACUGUUGAUCAUCUCGUUUAUCAAGGGUGAUUUGGGGAAUGAAAUUACUGAGGAUUGUUAGAGAUUAUUUGUGUAGAUAUUUACUGACAUACAAAUCUUUUCUUUCUAUUUUUAAAUGUAGCUCAAAGUAGGAUGGAAUUCUUUGAGUGGCUGUCAGUGUUGGCCUCCUGUGCACUGGAGACUAGGGCAUUCCAGUUACCCCACUAGGAUGUCUUGAACUUCCCUGAGAAAUUAGAUGGAAUGAAAAGACCUGCUCACACUAGUAGAGUUGGCCUCACUUGGAAGCCAGUAUUUGACUUCUAGACACCUUUUAGUCAAAGCUGUCUCUAGGCUCACUUUAAUAUUAUCAUUUUGGGGUCAGGAUGACUCCCCCCCCAAAUACGUCUCCUAUGUACUUGAAAAGGACUUGAUUUUGGUGUAGUUUUGCAGAACUCAGUUCCAGGGAGACAGUAAAAUACCUUCGUGGUUUCAUCUUUAUGUAAUUUGUGUAUUUUAAGCUCUUUAUUUCAGGUCAGUGGCCUAUUUUGCUAUUCUAGAUGAUUGACCAAUGUUAACAAAUUCAACUUAUCUUAGAAUAAAUUAAGGAUGACGCUGGGCAGCCCCAAAGGCCCUCAGUAACUGGUUUCUAAUAGAUUCAAAGAGAAAAGCUCUUGCCCUUUCUUCAAACUUUAUCCCAAAUGCAGUGCUCUACUGGCUGAUAAUCAAUGAUGGUCCCUGUGGGAUUUGAUUCACAAUGAAGUUUCAUUGUCUCUGCCCCAUAGACUUUCUCGGCAGCAGUCUCCAGGUGGCUGAGGGGUUAAACAGGCACGCACCUUCUGUGGGUCAAGGACAACACGAAAAUCAAAGUGUGCAAUAGCAUCAAGGUAUUGUUUAAUUCCUAGAUAGCUAUGGUUUUCGAAAUGAAGAGUAGUAAUAGUAGUCUCUUGAAAUAUCUAAAAAUGCAUAGCAAAUACUGGAUACUAGAUAUGGUUACACGGCCCAAAGAUGAACUUUUGUGCCAUAGUCUCACACACAUUUUAAAGCAUAACCUUCACACCAUUGUGGAACUGAGUGUCAUGUGCACCUGGUCCAAGUGCUAACUCGGGCUUGGCAGUUCACCAGGCUGCAUUUUGCUUAACCACAGAAUCCUUAAGACAGGGACCUGUCAAGGUGCAGACGGAGGCUUGUCACUGU